ACCAACAUGUCACAAUUUUAGAGGGAGAAAAGUAAUCUUAUUAAUUACAUGUAGCGUAAUUUUGUCCGUCCCAAAAAAUUAAUUUUUACUAAUUUGUCACUCCCUAGCUAUCCCUACCCCUACCUACCCUAUCCCCUACCUUCCCCUACGCUCACCUAAUCCACCCACUAGGCUGCCACCCCCACGUGCCCACCCCCAUUUUUCCAACAACAACUCCACUGCCAUAUACAAUUCAUACACUCUCAAUUCUCACAGAACACUACAUACAUAAUUAUAUGCAAACGACAACUAUACACACGCAACAUAAUUCUUUCAAUCAAAAACACACGCGCCAUUUUGAGAGGAGAAAGACUCGAUUUUCUUUUCCUUUUUUUUUCUGCUGCUGCGUACACCCACACGAAAGAGAGAUAUAGAGGAGGGAGACGAGAGAGAUAACUGAUUGAGAGAUUCUAGAGAGAACUGAUUCGAGGUCAAGAUCUAAAACUGAGAAGAAAAUAGGGUCGAGUUGAGGUUAUUAGGGAACGAAUUUUGUGGGUUUGUUCACUGUUCCGGCCGAGCUUCAAGUUUUCCCGGUAGGGUCUUCAUGUUUCCGAUGGAAUUUUUCGUCGGAAUUAGCUUCGAAACACUGAACAGAUCCGACCUAGUCUCAAAACCCCUGAAAUCUCUUGGUUUCUUUUGUUUUUCAAGCAAGUCAGGCCCGAAAGUACUGAAAUUCACUUGAACAGUCAUUUUAUACUAUCGUUAGAGCUCACCGGAGCUCGAUCUACAUUGGGUUUCAGUUUUCUAUCGUAUUAUUGGGGUUUGGGUUUGCCUAUUUUGUGGUUCAUGGUCGAUAUCGGGUUUUAGGGUGAUUUUGACUCCAUAUUAAAUUUUUAUUCCCACUGGUUUUGAAGUUGUUUGGCUAUUAGUUCUCUAUACAGAGUCAAAUUUGAUCGUGGUUGAGGUUCAGUUUGAGGUUUUCGGGUGCAGACUUUCUUUUAUUCGAAUAACAUUGAAUUCGAAAGCUUCAAAUGAGGUUCAAUUCUACUCUUUCACCUCUUUUAUUUCAUUGUUGAUGAUAUCUGGUGCAUUGAAUUGAAUAUCGUGUUGGUUUAUCUGUGAUGAUGUGAAUUGUUGGUUGUUUUGAUUUGUUGUUUGACUCCUUUAAUUGUGGAUUAUGGAUUAUAUGAUGAAGUGAUAUCUCAUUUGAGAAUUAAAAUUGGUUGUUUUGGGGCGAAAGUUAAAAGUUGAUAAAGUGAUUAUUGUGGUUUUGAUUCAUCAAUAUCGAACUUGAUAGUAUCAUAAUAGGUCGAGUGGGAUAGGCAAACAUAUGUCGGGUAGGAAAAUUUAGGGAUUAUGGAUUGAUGUGAUAUUUGAACUGUGUGCUUGAAUGGUUUUUGGCUUUAUCGCUUUGGGAUUACUUGUAUCAUUUGGCCGGGGAAUGCCCUGAAGUACUUGUAUUAUUUUAUCCGGGGAAUGCCCCGAAGUAUUUUGUACUCGAAGGACGUCCGUGAUAAAGGCCCAAGGCAUCGGGUAAAACGUCGGAGCAUAAUUUAGGAUUAGUUCAGAAUAGGAUUUAUAUUUUUUUGUAUUUUUCAAUUUUCGGAUUGUAAUAAUUGGACCGGAUAAAUUUGGAUUUGUUUGUUUUGUUUGUUUGAUCGAUUGGUUUGUAAGUUUUAUAGUCAAAAAUCGUUUUGAAAAAAGAAUUUUCAAAGGUGACUUGGCACACCCGAUUAUGCCAAGUGGCGACUCUGAAUAAAAAAUAUAAAUAAUCUUUUUUCGAAGCAAAUUUUUAAUUUUUUGUCACUUUAAUAAUAAAAACCCUAUCAAAACUUAAAAUCGAUAAUCUUUUUAGGAGUUGAAAAAGGGGGUCUCUAAAUUAUUCGAACUUAUUUUUUUAGGAGUUGUAUCGGCUUAAUUUGGCACUAUAGGUGUAUAGACAUUUUGUUUGUGUUGUUUUGUGUUACUGUUUACCAUUGUUGAGUGCCUACGUGCUCUUUGUUUAACAGUUUUUCUUUAUGUGUUACCGCUUUAUAUCUGACAUCAUUUGCAUAACCCAAGUCAAUUCUUUCUGCAACAAGUCUCAAAGUGCACGUCGUGACACGAACUCUAGUUGAGUCACCCUUAUUUUAGGAGGGGGAACCGUCGGACGUAUGGAGUGGGUGGAAAGCUAUCGCAGCCACUAUCGACCAUACGCUUCCCUGAACAACCUUGUUAGUGAACCCCAGCGUAGGUCAGCCUUUAGGUUAUGCUUAUCUGUAUCAUAUCGAGACCUAGCGGGACCCGUGGGACCCUUUGUAGGAGACUCACCUCUAAAACAUCUCUACGUGCUAAAUGUUUGCAUCUCUGAGGGUAACGUGCUCAUUCGACGGACGGAUUUGGGAAAAACAUGAGUUAGAAGUAAAGUGUGUAGACAAAACAUUUGAAAAAAAAAGAAAGAAAAAAGAGAGGAAAAAGAAAGAAAAAGUGAGAUCGAAAAGAAAAAGAGAGUCGUAGUUUUAGAGUUCUUUAUGGCUUUUGUUUUUCAAAAUUCAAAAAGAUUUUUUUUAUUUUUGCACUCAUUUGUCAAAAAAAAAAAGCAUCAAAAAGAUUUUCCUUUGUCUUCUUUAGUAAACAUUCAAAAUUCAAAAAUUCAAUCAAAAAGAUUUUUUUUAGGAGUUUCUUUUUUUAAAUAAAAAAAAAUGAUAGAAGUUUUGUACAUUUCAUAUAAUGAAAAUAUCAAAAAAAAAUUUCUUUCACUAUUGUUGGUGUCAGUUUUAUGUGAAGUAUCAAUUUGGAAAACCCAAAAAGAUUUUUCUAACAUUGUUUGCCGUCUAUUUAUGGUCGUGUCUCUUAGGUUAGGGUUCAAUCAUUUGUAUAAUCUUCAUUUGACCAAUCUGGACGAACUACGCAUACCUGAUUCUCGUCUCUUAAGGCGGGAUACGUAGGCAGCCCUCAGUGGGUUCGGUAAUCUUUUAAUUUCGAUUGUUGUCCUAGUCUUAGUUAAGGUCCGAUUCUGCUUAGUCAAGUAUUUGUUAGCGGUUAUAACUAGCUAGGUUGAGUCUUCUUAGCGUUUCCAUUCGACGAUUUUGAGUUAUAGGUCGGCUUGUCCCUGUGUUAUGUGACACUUCUUUGUGUCAGAAUCUCGAGGGUCGGGAAUUCUCUUGCCCUUAUUGAAUCGUGAGUCAUAACUCUGUGUAUUGUUACAGGAUGGAGUAGUCCAUAGGAUCUAGAGUCUUGAUGGUUUUCAAGGUGCCCAAAAAGUUAAUCAAAUGGUGGGGUAUGCUCAACUACUCUGAAAGGCAUGAGAUAGAAAAAUUGUUAAGCAAUCUUACAUCGCUUUUGAAUAUCACACCCCGACCAGAUCUGAUAGAGGCUGCAUCGACCUUCUGGGAUUCAGACAGCUUGGUGUUUAGGUUCGGAGGUUGUGAAAUGACGCUAACCCUGGCAGAAAUAUCUGGUCUGUUUCAUUUGCCAUAUAUCGGUAAGAAGCUAAUCCUAGCUCGGAAUUAUUCUAGAAGGAGAUUUCUCGAGCUUUGUGGUUUUAAGGCUAAUGAACACCUAGGGUCCCUGAAAUAAUCUUGGAUUUCCUUAGAUUAUUUGUUCGCUAGAUUCGGGUCUCUAGAUGGUUUUGAUCACUUUUGGGAUGAAUUUUACCAAGAAGAAUUGGGAAAAAGGGCGUCUUGAGGUUUUUUGUUUGGCGUUGUUAGGUACUUUAGUGUUCCCAUUAGAUGAAAGGAGUAUGAACACUGCUUUACAAUUAGUAGUGUUAGCCUUGUUCAAGAAAAAGGAUGGAUUUACUAUCGUACCUAUGAUUUUGGUGGAACUAUAUAAGGCUUUGACCGAGGUAAGAGGGGGGCUGUGAUUUUUUGAAGGAAGCAAUUUGAUAUUACAAUUAUGGAUGAUAGAACAUUUGCACACUCCUUCUUUGGUCAGACCGGAUGUGAUGGAUCAUUGUUUAAACGAGCGAGCGAAUGCCAUCGAACAACGAAUGUGUUUUGAUAAGUUCUCGUUGCCUAUAGGAGUCAAUGCUUGGGUUGAAUUUCUCGAAGCAAUAACUCAUGAUAAUAUACUUUGGACUUAUCGUUGGCUCAAUCCGAAGGUAAUCUUGUAUGGAUGUCGCAUGCAACCUCUUCUUGUUCUGAUUGGGCUCAAAUGCACUAGACCUUACUGCUCGAGUAGGGUAAUGCGUCAAUUGGGUAGACUUCAGGACAUUCCACCAAUAAUGGAUCUUCAAAAGGAUGUCGAGUAUUUUAACAAUAUAGCAAAAGGGGAAAUCAGAAAUGAGCAAUUCUUGCUUAAUGCAACGAAAAUGGGUGUAUAUUCUCUCAAAGCAGGUUUGGAUAAUCCAGGAUACACUCCGAGAUAUGGAAUCUGGCUACAAUUUAUUCCUUGAGGUGUCAGUAGACCAUUGCCAGCACAACUUAGAGGGAGAAUACAAGAAGAAUGCAUAAUUAAUGAUUGUCAAGAUGAAGUGUGGGGGCCAAAGUGGAGUCAUUAAGGGUUCAAUUAUUAGGUUUGCUUACAACUAUGAAAAGGUAUCAGAUAAAUCUUUUCAGGUGUACCCCUCAAGAGGUAGGAAUACGUGCCAGGAGCUUCUUCCCAAGCAUUAAAGAUACAUUGCAAGAUAUGCUACAAAGUUUGAAUGGGAGAGCGAGAACUCCACAGACAGGUCCAUCUCAGCCAGGGCCAUCACGUAGUGCAUCAGUUUAAAGGAGCACUUCAUUUCUUUUAUUUUUGAGUCCUUUGUUUUUGUCAUUUGUAUUGGUGUGUCUUUGUUAAGUCGGUGUCAAGUUUUUUUUAACAUUGAAGUCUUUAUUAGGAAAGUUACGUAUGUUAUCUUGUGGGUCUAGAGUGUUGUUUCGUAUUUGUUAAUUAGUUUUAAAGUUGUCUUAAAUUUGAAGUUUGUUUUAGUUGUCUCUUUUAUGAAAUUUAGUGAUGUUGCGGUAUUUUUUUUUUUUGUGUUCUUCGUAAAAAAAAAUCAAUCAAAAAUCUUCAACUUUGUGAUAGUUAUGCAUGCGCUGCCCGAACUACGCAAGAUCUGAUUUAUGUACAACAUGAUACGUAGGCAACCUACUUGUGGGUUCGAUCUAAUCAUUUUGAUUCUUCGUUCUUCAUUAUUUUUUCUCUUUUAAAUAAAAGAAAAAGCCAUAAAAAAUGAUAAAAAAAGAUAGAUAGUGAGAGAAGAAAAAAAACAGAAAGAGUGACGAGAGAAUAAGGUGAAAGAAAAGAGACUGAUGAAAAGAAGAGAAAAGUAAGGGCGAAAAGAAAAAAAGAGGUAUGGUUGGAGGAAAGAAGCAAUUGGGCAUAGAAGAAAGAUUGGGAUGAUGUUAAAAUGACCUCUCUACCCUCAAAGGCUGGUAGAAAUACGCAUGAAUCUAAUACAAUCUUUGCAAAUAUGAUUCCCAUGCAUGUUGUGUGACCUAAUCCUAACGGGUGUUGUCUUUGAUGAGCAUGUUCUUUCAGAUAAAAGUGGUUGGUAUUGUAGCACUCUGGCUAGUCACCCAUACUUUACUAGAUCAAAAGCAAAGCUUGCCAUGGCUGGCAGGGAGAUCGAAGAUUUGCUCAUUGACCCAGAUCAGGAUCCCAGGAAAGAAAGUUUAGAACGCAAUGAUGAGGUAGUAAGGCUCAGACAACAAUUGAUAGAUUUGCACCGGGCGUGGGCUAGUGGAAUGCCUCUUCCUCCACUCCCCGAAGAUCUUAGGUAUAUCACUAAUUGCCCACCGCUCUCUCAGGCAUAAUUCUCUGCUCCCACUGAGUCACCUGUGCACGCUCCAGGAUUUACUCCGCGUCAAUAUUAUCCUGGCACCCCUAGUGUACCCUUGGCAGUUCCUUAACCAAGACCCGCUGCUCAGCCGACGCCACCUGCAGCUCCUGUGUUCAUGGCUCCGCCACCACCUGAAUCCCCCACCUAUGCUGUGCGUCUGACGAUGGUACUCCCUUAGUCUACUAGUGAGCCAGUAUUGAAGGUUUCGGAUGAUCAGUAUUAUGUCCUGGAACCUACUUUGAGGAUGAAUGAACCGUAUGGGUACACUCAGCCACCUGCAUUUCCAUUUGAUACGGAGAAGCCUAUUGCAACAGAGGAACAAGAAGUCAUAGCGCGGAAACUGAAAAGUUUGGAAUAGGCCAUGAGAAAUUUGUAGGGAAUCGGAGGUUAUAAGGGUGUUUCCUAUAAAGAUCUUUGUAUGUUCCCAGACGUUAACCUUCCCCUUGGUUUUAAAAUGCCCAAAUUUGAGAAGUAUGCUGGGCACGGCGAUCCUGUGGUGCACUUGAGACAUUAUUGAAACCAAUUGAGGGCUGCAGGAGGAAGGGAGGAGUUCCUCAUGGCUUUCUUUAGUGAGAGUCUUUCCGAUCUAGCUUCAGAAUGGUUUUUCGAUCAGGAUAUUAACAAAUGGGAACAAAUGGGAUAACUUAGCUACUGGGUUUGUGCAACAUUUUUAGUAUAACAUCAACCUGAUUCCUGACGAAAAAUCCUUGGUCAACAUGAAGAAGAAAAGUACUGAAGGCUUUAGGGAAUACGCGAUAAGAUGGCCUUAACAGGACGCUAGGGUAAAGCCUCCAAUGAAGGAGAGUAAGCUGUUAGAGGUCUUCAUUCAGGCACAUGAUGAUACCUAUUUUCAAUAUUUACUUUCGACAAUAGGAAAGUCUUAUAUUGAAGUCCUCAAAAUGGGAGAGAUGAUAGAGGACGGAAUCAAGACCGGCCGGAUAGUGGGUUUUGCCAAAUUUAAAGCCACCACCCAUGCUAACAAAUGGCAAAGAAUCAUCGAUGCUUUAUAAGCCUAGUGUCAGAAUACAGACCAAUAAGGAUAAAUUGGUGAAUGCGGUAGAUUCUUUGAAAGCAAUGUUAUUAAGCCAGUAAGGAAUGGGAGAAGAUAAAGUCCAAGAGAGCGCAAAGAAACUCGUGAUCACGGUACAAGGCGCCAGAAAAGAUAUUGGUUUAAGUCAGGACAACCUAAGUUGACGGUGGUAGGAGCUUCAGGUAAGCCUAUCUUGACGGUGAAAGGAGCACUUGCAGCGCCUAUUAUCAUCAAACAAGUGACCCAACCUUCGAUAGUUGAUACGAAAAAGGUCCCCUGAAACUAUAAACGGACUAUGAUGACUUAUCAGGUAAAGGAAGUGAGGAAGAAGUAGAUGAGGUAGGGGGUCCGACUCAGUCAGGAAGAUGCUUCGUGCUUGAAGAUUUGAGGAAGCCCAAGCCAGUGGUGAGUGGGCCUCCGUCUCUCAAAAAUUCUGUCUCCGAAGAAGAAGUCGAAGAAUUUUUGAAAAAGAUGAAAUUGCCAGAGUAUUUAAUAAUAGAUCAGUUGAAGAAGCUCCCUGCUCAAAUUUUUCUCUUAUCUUUGUUGUUGUAUUCCAAGGAACAUCGUGACAUUAUACUGAAGGUAUUGAACAAAGCAUACGUUCCUAAGGAGAUUAUAGUAAAUUAGCUUGAGAAAAUGGUUAAAAAAUUCUUUGAAGUAAAUCGAAUCAGCUUCUCUGAUGAUGAAUUGCCAGUUGAAGGUACGGGGCAUAAUCAGAGUCUUUACAUUACCGUGAAGUGUGAAGAUUUUUACGUCACUCAUGUCAUGAUUGAUGGAGAUUCUGGCACAAAUAUUUUCCCUAUUUCCAUCUUGCAAAAGUUGAACAUUGGUAUUGAGAGGAUCAGGCCCAACAAUGUAUGUGUCAGAGCUUUCAAUGGAGCAAAUCAAGCUCCAUUGGCGAAAUAGAAUUGAUGUUGAUUAUAGGGCCUGUUGAAUUCGCCAUAGAGUUUCAAGUAUUGAAUAUCGACUUCUCUUACAAUUUGUUAUUGGGAAGAUCGUAGAUCCACAAGUCCAAGACGGUUGUAUCUAUGUUGCACCAGAUGAUCAAGUUUAAGUAUGACAGGCAAGAAGUGGUUAUUCAUGGUAAAGGAGAUUUGUCCGCUUAUGAAGAUUCUCCCUUAUCACUUAUUGAAGCGAACAACGUAGAGGAGACAUUUGUCUAUCAAACUUUUGAUACAGUGUCGGUAUAUCAUAUCUUUUAAGGGCAGGUUAUGCUAGGGCUACAAUUGUCUUCCGCUUCUGUCAUGAUGAUAUGAAAUGUUAAAAUAUGGAUUCGAGCUAGGAAAGGGUUUAGAAGUGUCUCUGCACGGUAUAGUUCAUCCCAUAUAUCCGAGGGAGAGCAUGGGCACUUUUGGUUUGGGUUUUAAACCUACGGUUGAAGAUUUGAAAAAGGCCAAGGAAAGGAAAAAGGAAGCAUGGUCACUCCCCCGCCCAACGCCGCUGCUCAGUGAGUCAUUUGUCAAGAGCGGUGUUACGAAGCCUGUAGAAUUUGAAGCUGAAUUAGUUGAUGACUUCCAGAACCUGUUGAUUGAAGUUGACAUGGUUAAAGCAGGAGAAGGUACCAGUAAGGCAGAUGUGCAGUUCAUGAGCCCAGCUAUCCGUCACAACAGUUGGGAACUCCUCUCCCCGUCAGGAGAGAGUUUUGGAGUUUGCUUUGUUUUUCUUUUAGUUUUUUGAGUUCUUCCAGGUUUGUAACUCGGAAUUUAACUUGUUUAUAUUCUGUUGUUUGUGUUUAAACCCUUCUAUCUUUUCCUUUUAAUGAAAUGCAAUAUCCCUUUUAUUUUGUGUCUAAUGUAUUUUGUUUUGUCUUUUCUUUAGACAGUUCUCUUUAUGCUGACUCUAAUGACAUGACAUGCAUGAAUUUUAUCCUGAUCUUAAAAUCCAAACUAAUCAAGAUAUAAUGAAGCAAGAGGGGGAAUAUGAUGAAGAAGAGGCACUAGAAGAAAUAAGCAAAGAGUUGGAACAGUUUGAAGACAAGCCGAAUCCUAAUUUGAAUGAAACUAGGCCAAUUAAUCUAGGGAAUCAAGAAGAUAUUAAGGGAACUAAAAUCAGUAUACAUGCUUUGCCACAACUAAAAGAUGGAAUGAUUCAAGCAUUAAUUGAUUAUAAGGAUGUUUUUGCAUAGUCUUAUAAUGUUAUGCCUGGUUUAAGCACUGAAUUAGUGACUUAUAAAUUGCCAACUGAUCCUACCUUCCCCCCUAUGAAACAGAAGUUGAGAAAGUUUAAAACCGAUGUAAGUAUCAAAAUCAAGGAGGAAAUCAUGAAAUAACUUAAAGCCAAAGUCAUUCGAGUAGCUCGUUAUCCUACGUGGUUAUUCAAUGUUGUUCCUGUCCCAAAGAAACACAGCAAAAUUUGAGUAUGUGUUGAUUAUCGUGAUUUGAACAGAGCAAGUCCGAAGGAUGAUUUUAUGCUACGUAACAUCCAUAUUUUGCUGGACAAUUGCGCUAAACAUGAGGUAGCCUCUUUUGUGGAUUGCUAUGUCGGAUACCACCAGAUCAUUAUGGAUGAUGAAGACGCAGAAAAGACGUCUUUUAUCACACCAUGGGGGACUUAUUGUUAUCGAGUGAUGCCAUUAGGUUUGAAGAAUACUAGAGCAACAUACAUGAGAGCCAUAACCACCAUGUUUCAUGAUUGAUGCAUAAGGAGAUUGAAGUCUAUGUAGAUUAUGUGAUUAUUAAAUCAAAGAGUCAGGCUGACCAUGUUAAAGAUUUAAGAAAGUUCUUUGAGAGGCUUCGCAAGUAUAAUCUCAAGCUCAAUCCGGCAAAAUGUGUCUUUGGAGAUCCAUCUGGAAAGUUGUUGAGGUUUGUAGUCAUCCGUCAGGGUAUUGAAUUGAUCCUUCGAAGAUUAAAGUUAUUCAGGAUCUUCCGCCGCCCAAGAAUAGAACGGAGGUGAUAAGUUUUCUUGGUAGACUGAACUACAUCAGAAGGUUCAUUGCUCAACUCACAAUCACUUGUGAGCCCAUUUUCAAGUUGCUAAAGAAGAGUGCUACUGUUGAGUGGAAUGUAGAAUGUCAGGAUGCAUUCGAUAAAAUCAAAAGAUAUCUUUCAGAUCUACCAGUACUGGUGCCACCUGAGCCAGGCAGGCCGUUGAUUUUGUACUUAUCGAUUUUGGACAAUUCUUUUGGUAGCGUGUUGGGUCAACAUAAUAUCACGAGCAAAAAGGAGCAAGCUAUUUAUUAUCUUAGCAAUAAGUUCAUAGCAUGUUAGGCCAGGUACACUCUUCUUGAGAGGACGUUUUGUGCCCUGACUUGGGUAGCACAGAAGUUGAAGCAUUAUCUUUUGUCCUACACUACUUAUGUCAUCUUCUACAUAGAUCCUUUAAAGUAUAUCUUUUAGAGGCCUAUGCCGACCGGUCGAUUAGCAAAGUGACAAAUAUUGCUUACCAAGUUCGACCUUAUAUAUGUGACUCAAACUGCUGUGAAAGCCCAAGCAUUGGUAGAUCAUCUUGCUGAGAAUCCUAUUGAUGAAGAGUACGAGCCAUUAAAAACAUACUUUCCUGAUGAAGAGGUGUUGUGUGUUGAUGAAAUCGUUAUAGAUACUGAUCCAGGUUGGAAAGUGUUCUUUGACAGAGCUGUCAACAUGAAAGGAGUCAGAAUUGGUGCAGUUCUUAUAUUUGAAUUGGGGCAAUAUUUCUCGGUAAUAGCGCAACUUUGAAUUUAUUGUACCAAUAACAUGGAGGAAUAUGAAGCUUGCAUUUUAGGUUUGAGGUUAGCUUUUGAUAUGGGAGUCUAGGAACUAUUAGUGUUGGGAGAUUCAGAUUUGCUCGUCCAUUAGAUUCAAGGCGAUUGGGAGACGCAAGAUUUAAAGCUCAUACCGUAUCGACAAUGCUUGCAAGAGCUAUGUUAACGGUUUGUGUCAGUAAAGUGUAGGCAUAUUCUGAGAAUUCACAAUGAGAUUACUGAUGCUUUAGCCACUCUGUCUUCAAUGCUCCAAUAUCCUGAUAAAGCCUACAUCGACCCAGUGCAUAUACAGAGUCAUGAUCAACAUGCUUACUGUAAUGCGGUUGAAGAAGAGCUCGAUGGCGAAUCUUAGUUCUUUGAUAUCAAGUGAUACAUUCAGUCAGGAGACUACCCAACACAUGCCACCAGUGAUCAAAAGAGGACUGUUAGGCGUUUGGCAUGGAUUUUUCUUAAGUGGGGGAAUCUUAUACAAGAGAACCCCAGAUCUAGGACUUUUGAGGUGUGUGGAUGCAAAAGAAGCCUCGACAAUCAUGGUUGAAAUACACUCUGAAAUAUGUGGGCGACAUAUGAACGGUUAUGUCUUGUCAAAGAAGAUUCUUCGAGCAUGUUAUUACUGGCUUACUAUGGAGAGGGAUUCUAUUCUAUUUAUUCGAAAGUGUCAUCAAUGCCAAGUACAUGGUGAUCUGAUAUAUUCUCCUCCUGCUGAUUUACACGCAAUGGCUGCUCCAUGGCCGUUUGUAUCUUAGGGAUUGGAUGUGAUUGGACCGAUUGAGCCGAAGGCAUCAAAUGGACAUAGAUUCAUUUUGGUGGCCAUUGAUUAUUUCAUAAAGUGGGUGGAAGCAGUAACUUUCAAGUCAGUAACAAAGAAGGUGGUAGUAGAUUUUGUUCAUGCCAACAUCAUUUGUAGGUUUGGAAUUCCAAAGAUGAUCAUUACAGAAAAUGCUGUCAAUCUUAACAGUCAUUUGAUACAAGAAGUGUGUUAACGGUUUAAGAUCGCACAUCGAAAUUCCACUCUAUAUCCUCUAAAAGCAAAUAGUGUUGUAGAAGCCGCUGAUAAGAAUAUCAAGAAGAUACUGCAGAAAAUGAUACAAGGGUCUAGGCAAUGGCAUGAGAAGUUUUCGUUUGCACUGCUAGGUUAUCGCACUACUGUUAGCACUUUAAUAGGGGCAACCGCAUAUUUAUUAGUGUAUGAAACAGAAGCCGUCAUUCCCACAGAAGUUGAAAUUUCCUCUCUUCAAGUCAUUGUUGAAGCAGAGAUUGAUGAUGAUGAGUGGGUCAAAACCCGAUUGAACAGUUGAGCUUGAUUGAUGAAAAAAGACUGAGGUUGGUAUGUCAUGGCCAAUUGUAUCAGAAGAGAAUGAAUCGAGCGUAUAACAAAAAGGUAUGGCCCAGAUAUGUUGAAGUUGGUCAGUUGGUAUUGAGGCGUAUCCUUCCUCAUCAGAUCAAAGUGAAAGGAAAGUUCUCCCCAAAUUGGCAAGGUCCCUUUAUUGUGAAGAAAGUGUUGCCCAAUGGAGCCUUAUAUUUGAAAGAUAUUGAAGGCAAAAUGACAGAAAUGACUAUCAAUGUAGAUGCAGUCAAAAGAUAUUAUGUAUGAUAUUUUAUUCCUUGUUGGUUCUAUUGCAUAUUUAGUACUAGUAUUUUUUGAAGAUUGAUAUAAUGAAGGCAUUUCAUUCUGCUAUCCAAACAUUGUGUCAUCCUUUGUUUACCCCGUUUGAGCUUAGUUUUAUUUUUCUUUCAUACCCCUCUUUUGGAAUCAAAACAGAGUCAAAAAAUAAAGUAUCAAGAAAAAAAAACAUGAAAAAGAAGAGAAAAUUAAUCAAAAAAAAAUCAAACCAAAACAAAGAACAAACUGAUGGAACUACGUGCGAUCUGAUUCUCCUCUUUCGAUAGUGAGAUACGUAGGCUGCCCUAUUUGGGGCUCGGUCCAACCAAAUAAAUAAUUUAGAAUUGUCCAGUAAAAAACUGGGGCAUGAGUGAAUCCUCAUUGUUUUAGUUGAUUCCAAAAGUUGUAAGUCUUACCCCACUUCAAGUGUCGUUUGAGCCUCAUGAUAUCCUUUCUUUCUAAUCCUAUCCAAAAGCCAAGAUACAACCAAAGAAAGACCUUUAGAUCAAUCUUUGAGAAUUUUAAGGCUAAGUAUGCAAAGGAUAUUAUGACUCAUUUUGAAAACUACUUGUCUCCCUCAGCAUAAGGAAUCAGGAAAGAAAUUAAAAAAAGAGAGAGUCUUAUUGGUGAAAACCCUCACGGGCACCAUAAGGCGAUGGUGAGUUGAGAGGAAAAAAAAUGAGAGAGUCUUAUUGGUGAAAACCCCCACGGAUACCGUAAGAAGAUGGCGAGUUUGAGAAAAGUGAAAAGGAAAGAGGAUUGUUGGCAAAAAUCUUUCAAGAUGUCGUCAAUUAAAGGAAUUGUACGAGUCCAACGGGCUUGAAGAAGCAAUUCAGAGGCAAAGGCAUGAACUUAAAAGCAAAUGGAAAGUUUGGAUAGGAAGAUCAGGCAGCUAAAUCCAAAAUGCAUGUCAUAGUCAUUGGAGUUGGUUGCCAUAUUCAGAUAAGUUUUCUAAGGGACAUUGCCCUUUUUCUUUCAUUUACACAUUCAUGUUUUUGUUCUUUUAUGUCUUUUAUCAAAAGAAAUUCACCGUCAUUCCUUUACAUUUUUGAGUCUAUUCUGUGUCAAAAUAAGUGAGAAAGGACUUCAAAACUUGCUAUCAGUCUUCCCAAUUGUAUGGGGAAAGCCAAGACCAGCACAUGAGAGAAACACGAUCAUAAUUCAAAGCAAGACAAAGGUAGUUUAUCAAUCGACAGGUUGCUGGAUUCAUGGGAGUAUCAGAUGUCAAAAAAUGCAUCUCAGAGGCAUGGUAGAAUGGAAACUCAGUGCUUGAGUCAAGGUCGUUACCCUCAAUUUGGUUUAAGUCAAUGAUGCGACAAGACAGGGGCAAGUGUAAGCAAUCUGAAAUAAAGAUGAAAGGAACGAGUGCUGGAGCAGAUAUCUGGGAAGCCAAGUGCUGCAAGGCACCACUAAGUUUUAAAUGAUAAAUUUUCUUUGUUGAAACAGGGGAAAAUUCUCUCCACUUAAUUCAGAUACCAUUGGAAAUGCACAUCCAUGGGAUUUUACUUUCUGUUCAGGACCCUCCUAAAAAAUGAAAAUUUACUUUCUGUUUAGGACCCUCCUGAAAAAUGGAAUUUUACUUUAUGUUCAGGACCCUCAUGGAAAAUAGGACUUUACUUUCUGUUCAGGACCCUCCUAAAAAAUGAGAUUUUACUUUCUGUUCAGGACCCUCCUGAAAAAUGGGAAUUUACUUUCUGUUCAGGACCCUCCUGGAAAAUGGGAUUUUACUUUCUGUUCAGGACACACCUGGACAAUGGGAUUUUACUUUCUGUUCAGGACCCUCCUGGAAAAUGGGAUUUUACUUUCUGUUCAGUACCCUCCUGGAAAAUAGGACUGUAAUUUCAAACAAUGAAAUCUUUCUUUAUCAUGAUCUUUGUUUAGGAUAAUUCUCCUUCUAGUUUUAUUGUGAUUUCAGGAGCCCGCCGGAAGAACAGGGUGAUGAAACUGAAAAGUGAUGAAAUAGAAAGUCAGGAGCCCGCCUGAAGAAUAGGGUGAUGAAACUAAAAGUUAAACAACAAGGUGAAUAAAUGAAAAGCCAAGAAACAAGGUGAAAAAUUGCAAGUCAGGAGCCCGCCUGAAGAAUAGGAUGAAGAAUUUCAAAUCCAGGUUCGAGUUCAGAGAUACCACCUGCAGAACAUGGCCAACUUUGAGUUCAUCUCCAACACCAAAUUUUGUAUGUAGAAAGAAUCUAUCUUCAAGUUCAACCGAAAUAUGAUCAGAUCUUUUGUCACGUUUGAAAGCAUCGAAAACCCGAGACAAGAAUCGAGAGAUGCUGUAUAGAUAGAUAUUUUGUAAUUUUAUUUUUGAUGUAAUGACAGUGCCGCAGAUCGGCACCUUAACGGGACCUCACUCGACUCUCUAACUCGGUAUAGUCCACCUCUUUUUCAACCCUGAAACUACAUGUGACUUAACUAUCACAUAACUUGAGACAGGUAGAAUACCCAAAAUCAGACUCAAUUGCCUUCCUCCCUUUUCUUUCUUUCUUUUGAAUAAUGCUCGGGAUAAAAUUCUAUCUCGUUGUCUACUUCUUUGUCUGUAAACACUUUGUGUUUACAUUCAAAGAGGGCAUAAUGUAGACACGUAAUUUUGUCUAUCCCAAAAUACUAAUUUCUACUAAUUUGUCUCUCCCUACCUAUCCCCUACCGCUACCUACCCCUACCCUCACCUAAUCCACCCACUAGGCUACCACCCCCACAUGCCCGCCCCACUUUUCCAAUAACAACUCCACUGCCAUAUACAAUUCAUACACUCUCAAUUCUCACCGAACAGUACACACAUAAUUAUAUACAAACAACAACCAUACACACGCAACACAAAAUUCUUUCAAUCAAACACACACGCGUCAUUUUGAGAGAAGAAGAACUCGAUUUUCUUUUCCCUUUUUUCUUGAUGCUGCAUACACCCACACGAAAGAGAGAGAUAUAUAGAAGGGAGAUGAGAGAGAACUGAUUCGAGGUCGAAAUCUAAAAUUGAGAAGAAAAUGAGGUCGGGUUGAGGUUAUUCGGGAAUAGAUUUUAUGGGUUUGGUCACUGUUCCAGCCGAGCUUCAAGUUUUCCUGGUAGGGUAUUCAAGUUUUUGGUGGAAUUUUUCACCGAAAUUAGCUUCGAAACACUGAACAGAUUCGACCCAAUCUCGAAACCCCUGAAAUCUCCUGGUUUCUUUUGAUUUUCAAGCAAGUCAGGCCCAAAAGUACUAAAAUUCACUUGAACCGUCAUUUUAUACUGUCUUCGGAGCUCACCGAAGCUCGAGAUACGUUGAUUUCAAUUUUAUAUCGUAUUAUUGGGGUUUUGGAUUUGCCUAUUUUGUGGUUCAUGGUCGAUAUCGGGUUUUGGGGUGAUUUUGACUCCGUAUUAAAGUUUUAUUCCCACUGGUUUUGAAGCUGUCUGGCUAUUAGUUCUCUAUACAGAGUCGAAUUUGGUCAUGGUUGAGGUUCGGUUCGAGGUUUUCAGGUGCAGACUUUCUUUUAUUCGA
rnacentral:lncRNA from 1 species